rnacentral:rRNA from 1 species
GAGGAACCACCAAUUCGCAUCAUCGGAUAGCCGCCGCCGGAAACGGCGAUGCGGCGAAGCUGCCAUGCGCUGGAUUAUAACUGAACGCCUCUAAGUUAGAAUCCAUGCCGGCACGAAAGC